rnacentral:lncRNA from 1 species
AUGGAUGUACCUGGAGAGAGACUGAACAUUCGCCUCAAAGACGAAGACGGGACGAUCCUCUACGAGUCUUACAUCCCUCCUUCUCGGGACGCUGUCCACUUACCGACGUACGCUCUCUACCUGCUCAUUGCGGUCUUUAUCGUGCUUUCUGUUCUCUAUGCCAUCAUUGGACACCUCAUCAAAGACCUCAUCCAUGACUUUGCAGAUUGGCUGUUCGGGGAGCAGCCUGAGGAGGUGGUGGUGAACUACUGCCAAGCUAAAGAUAAAUUCAUGGCUGAUUGGUCUCCAGAAACCUCCCCUGAACUGGAGGCGAUGGCCCGAGCAGAGGAGAACAAGAUAGUUGACAGGGACUUCAUGAAAGCUCCGGCCAUCUGGAUCAUUUCCACAGAACCUCGAGGCACAAGGACUGGACCCAGAGUGGUUUUUGGGAAAAGGACUUAAAGGCAGAGCAGAGGGUAAAAAAAAAAACCAGUGUGCUGCGCUGAAAAUACAACUGAGAUCAUGUUGCAGCAUUUUAACCUGAGACUGAAUUUGCUGUGUUAUAGUGGUGGAGUGGAACUAUGAGGACAUCUAGUGUCUGUUUUGGUUUCCAGCAUGUACGUUUGGAAUAAAGCAGACUUACUGUGAAAUAACUUUACAGUGUACUUUAUUUACCCCUAUUAUAGUACUAUUUACUUUAAACAGCUUAAAUUAACAUAAUUAUUAUCAAUUAUGUCCCACUGUAAUUAUAUUUCAAUCUAUUGUAUAAAUGUUCCCUGUUUUGAUUAUUAUAAUGGAGUUUGACAAAAUGUAAAAAGAUUGUUGUUUUUUUAAGACAAAUUUUCGAUUUAUUUAGUUAGAGUUUUUGGGAGAACUGUUAUUGUGGAAGUAAGCCUCAGCUGAUAUCCCAUAAACCCUUUGUUUACACUGUUUUCCGCUAGCUUACCGUCCCUCACAACACCAAUCUAAUAUUAGCAGUGCGAGAAAAACAACGAGCAAUAUCGGAACUAUCCAGUCGUUACCUUUUUGUAGCCAGAUGUCAGCUCAGACGAGGAAAACAAAGACGUGCGGGGAUCUAUAUGUCUGCAAGUAGAUGUGCUGAAACGAAGCUGAGCAGAGAGACUUUGACCCGUCCAUUUCAGUUGCUGCGUGACAAUAUGAGCUUCUUCAAACCGCGAGUUUUCAUCUACUCCUGAUUCAUCACGAUUUGAAUAAAGAAAUACUCAGAAAAGCAGGUUUGAUCUUAGUUUUCUUUAUAUUUGUCUGCCAUCAAGAGAACAUGUUUAAAACAGCAAAAACACAAUUCUAAUGGGAGUUGAUCUUUAGACAGUGAGAUUGUUCUGAAAUUGGAAUAAAAUAUUUAGUAAUUACCAAUAUUUUCUUUCUGAGAGAUUAUGGCAACUUUACAAAAAUACACAAAGAAAUAACUCAGUGGGGGUGAAAUCAUAUGAGUUCACCUCCUCCCACUCCUUGACUUUGAUGGUCAGUAUAUUCAAUAAAUCAAAUGCGAUGUUUGUAAACUGUAUGCGUAACAGCAAAACCAUCUAAAUAUGAUUAUGAGUACUUACACUCAAGGAAAUGUCAUCAUCUUAUAACGUCUUCAUUCAUUUCUCUUUAUAGUCUGAGAAAUCUAUUAUUUGAGCUUUGAAAUGGGUUUAAUAUAUUUGUAUUUUUUUCUUUCUUCCUUUUGUUCUUUUCUUUUUUGAUUGUGGCAUUAAACUAU